GGUGUGGAGGUUUUAUCAAGAGUUUGCUCUGCUCAUACAGUCCCCGUGAGGGCUGUGGGGCAUUCUAGUCAUGGAAUCAUGAAAUCAUUAAGGUUAGAAAAGAACUCUGAGAUCACUGAGGCACAUCGAGGUUCCCUCCUCAGCCCCCAUUUGCUUAAAAACCUGCUGGAGUUUGACCACAGAUGCUUCAGGAGCAAAUCUGGAAAAGCUUUUAGAGACUCAGGAGCUCUACCAGAGGCAGAAACUGUUCCCUGGUUUUUGCCUGGUUUGCUGUUCAGGCAGAGGAAAGACGUGCAUGGGAAAACCUGUGACAUAGGAGGCUCUGAGGAAAUAUUAAAGGAGAGAAAUACAUUUCUGAGGAUGGAAGGAGGAAGAGAAGAGCAUUAAGAUCCAGUUGCUAAUGGACUGUGUGGCAUCUACCACUUCCAGGAGUUCUUAAUGGCCUUUGUGACUUAGAAAAGGAAGAUUUAAACUGAGGUUUAAUAAAUCUUUUGGGCCAACAGCUCAAAACAACAACA